UUUCUUAUGAGAAUCCAAAGAAAUUUUGAGUAAAGGAGGGAUAAGAACAACCAACAGUAUUCGAAGAAAGGAGGACGUGUACCAAAUAAAAAAUCAUCAACUGACGACCAGAGUCCAACAGCAGAAAUAUUAAGUUUACAAAAUCAUCGAACAAGUUCUUCUGAUGUCGUUGAGAUUGACAUGGUUUCUUACCAGGCUAAUGUUGCCAAGCUCAUUGACGUGUGUCGUGAUUUUGGUGACAAAAAAGCGUGAAAUAUUUGUGGACAUUUUGUGACUUUCGAAGGAAGAAGAAAAGCGAUAGUGUCUAACCAAUUUGAUAACGUUAACCAUCUUUUGAAAACGGCUUGUCCAGUUCUGAACCAACCGGAAUACGUAAGUUGACUACCCAAGUACCAAUUUCUUUUUAAAUUAUAGAAAUAUAUAACCAACCACUUUAGACAUUCUUCUUAAUUACAGCUUCAUGGAGAAUUCGAAAUGAUAAAGGGAGUUGGAAUAUGCCGUAAGUUUAUCGACAAUUGGACUGCCUGUGUACCUGCCAUUCUAAAGUAUGCGAUUCAGACGAUGAAAAAAGACGAUGCUGUGAGCAAAGUCUUUGCUAUGUACGGCAAAGAGAAACUCACACAGUUUGAGACCAAAGCAUGCAUUGCUUUAGAAAUUUUUCCCCUGCUGUUACCUG